rnacentral:lncRNA from 1 species
CUGGCUAAUUUUUGUAUUUUUUAGUAGAGAUGAUGUCUCACUCUGUUUUCCAGGCUGGUCAAGGGAGGAACUUUUAGAUAAUUAGAGACUUCAAUGUGAAACAUACAGCUACAAUCUAAUGAAAAAAAUAGGAGAAUUUUUGAAUGGGAUUAAUACCUAGAAUAUACAAAGUACUCCUGCAAACCAACAAGAAAAAGACCCCACAUAUAGGAACCAUCGGAUCCCUGUGUACAGAUGAAGAACUGAGUCUUGGAAAGCUUAACUACCUUGCUCACAGUCACACGUUAAGGUCUAAAGUGAGAAAUUAAACCAAGUCUUCCAAUCUCAAAGACUUUAAAGGAAAAGCUACAAGCUACAAGGUCUCAUCCUCCACGGAACAGAGAAUGGUUUUUAGAGUAACAAUGCAUCCAAGAAUAAAGAAGUUCUUCAUGUAUAUUUAUGGGAAAAUUGCUAAGGUGUAGUCUCAAGUCCUAAAAAAGCAAAGUUCAGGAAGUGGACUCCCUGAAGAAACAGGAAAGAGCACAGGAGAUGAGGAACAAACACAGCCAAUGGUGAGGCCCUCAGCAGGGAGCAAGGAGGGGGUGCUGUUGUUAAUAAAAAAAGAAGAAAGAAGAUUUUCAUCUAAAAUGAGAAAAGAGGAGAGAAAACAGCUGCAUUUAUGCAAGAUGGAAUAAAUCCAGUGUUGAAGAUGAAGCCCGCAGUAGCAGGCCAUUCACAUCAACUUGCAAGGAAAAAAUUCACCUUGUUUGUGCUUUAAUUGAAGAGGACUGAUGAUUAACAGCAGAAACAAGAGCCAACAUCACAGACAUCUCAAAUGGUUCAGCUUACACAAUUCUGAAUGAAAAAUUAAAGUUUAACAAACUUUCCACUUGUUGAGUUCCAAAACCAUUGUGUCCACCAAAUCAUCUGCAGACAAAAAAAAGUUUUCAAUGAAAAUUUUAAACAAGUAGGAUCAAGAUCCUGAAGCAUUUUUUAAGAAGAAUUGUAACAGAAAAUGAAACAAUGCUUACCAAUAUUAUCCUGAAGACAAGACAUAAUCAGAGCAAUGGUUACUAAGACAUAGAAGUGGCCCAGUCAAAGCAAAAGGGAACCAGCCAAGAGCAGAGGUCAUGGUAACAAUUUUGGGGGAUUGUCAAGGCAUUUUGCUUGCUGAUUUUUCUGGAAGGCCAAUAAAUGAUAACAUCUGCUUAUUAUGAGAGUGUUGAGAAAGUUAACUAAAGCUUGAGCAGAAAAAAACAAAAAAGUCUGGGAAAGCAUUACUAGAGAGUCCUAUUCCACCAUGACAAUGCUCCUGCUCACUCCUUUCAUCAAACAAGGGAAACUUUGGGAGCAUUUCAGUGGGAAAUUAUUAGGCAUUCACCUUACAGGUGUUAUUUGGUGUCUUCUGACUUCUUUUUGCUGUCUAACCUUAAAAAAAAUCUGUAAGGGGCACCCACUUUUCUUCAGUUACCUCAUGUCAAGAUCCUUAAUUUAAUCGACUGAUCAGUCCCUUUUGCCACAUGAGGUAACAUAUUCACAUUCUCUUCCUUUCUGCAAAUAC